UGGGGAAUAUUGCACAAUGGGCGCAAGCCUGAUGCAGCCAUGCCGCGUGUGUGAAGAAGGCCUUCGGGUUGUAAAGCACUUUCAGCGGGGAGGAAGGCGUUAAGGUUAAUAACCUUGGCGACUGACGUUACCCGCAGAAGAAGCACCGGCUAACUCCGUGCCAGCAGCCGCGGUAAUACGGAGGGUGCAAGCGUUAAUCGGAAUUACUGGGCGUAAAGCGCACGCAGGCGGUCUGUCAAGUCGGAUGUGAAAUCCCCGGGCUCAACCUGGGAACUGCAUUCGAAACUGGCAGGCUAGAGUCUUGUAGAGGGGGGUAGAAUUCCAGGUGUAGCGGUGAAAUGCGUAGAGAUCUGGAGGAAUACCGGUGGCGAAGGCGGCCCCCUGGACGAAGACUGACGCUCAGGUGCGAAAGCGUGGGGAGCAAACAGG
rnacentral:rRNA from 1 species